rnacentral:piRNA from 2 species
UGAUGAAGGAUUUUAGAAGGAUACUAUAGAA